CAAAAACAUAGCCAGAUGAACUUACGUUUGGUGACUUCUGCUCAAUGAUUAAUUAAAUAGCCGCAGUACCCUGACUGUGCAAAGGUAGCAUAAUUAUUUGUCUUUUAAUUAAAGUCUUGUAUGAAUGAAUACAUGAAGGCUCACUUUACCAGUAGUAUAACUUGAAUUUACUUAGUUAGUGCAAAUGCUAAUAGUAUUAAAAUAGACGAGAAGACCCUAGAAAUUUUGAUUUAGUGUUUUUGUUGGGGCAACAUGGUAACAAGUAAUUUACUUUAUGUAUAUGACAUAGUAUUAGAUAAAUUAAAUUACUCUAGGGAUAACAGCAUAAUAUUCAUGUGUUUGUGACCUCGAUGUUGGAUUAGGGAGUUGUAAUUUAGAAGAUUAACAUGCUUGCUCUGUUCGCGCA
rnacentral:rRNA from 1 species